UACGUAGGGGGCAAGCGUUGUCCGGAUUCCUUGGGCGUAAAGAGCGUGUAGGCGGCCAGGUAGGUCGGUUGUGAAAACUGGAGGCUCAACCUUCAGAGGUCGACCGAAACCAUCUGGCUAGAGUCCGGGAGAGGAGAGUGGAAUUCCUGGUGUAGCGGUGAAAUGCGCAGAUAUCAGGAAGAACACCCGUGGCGAAAGCGGCUCUCUGGAACGGUACUGACGCUGAGACGCGAAAGCGUGGGGAGCGAACAGG
rnacentral:rRNA from 1 species